rnacentral:rRNA from 1 species
GUCUACGGCCACACCACCCUGAACGCACCCGAUCUCGUCUGAUCUCGGAAGCUAAGCAGGGUCGGGCCUGGUUAGUUCUUGGAUGGGAGACAAGAACUUAAAAGCUUUAAAGC